rnacentral:tRNA from 1 species
AGCUCAGUUGGAUAGAGUACUUGGCUACGAACCAAGGGGUCGUGGGUUCAAUUCCUGCC